AUUGAACGCUAGCGGCAUGCCUUACACAUGCAAGUCGAACGGCAGCACGGGUGCUUGCACCUGGUGGCGAGUGGCGAACGGGUGAGUAAUACAUCGGAACGUACCUUAUCGUGGGGGAUAACGCAGCGAAAGCUGUGCUAAUACCGCAUACGCCCUGAGGGGGAAAGCGGGGGAUCGAAAGACCUCGCGCGAUUAGAGCGGCCGAUGCCUGAUUAGCUUGUUGGUGGGGUAAAAGCCCACCAAGGCGACGAUCAGGAGCUGGUCUGAGAGGACAGACAGCCACACUGGGACUGAGACACGGUCCAGACUCCUAAGGGAGGCAGCAGUGGGGAAUUUUGGACAAUGGGGGCAACCCUGAUCCAGCAAUGCCGCGUGAGUGAAGAAGGCCUUCGGGUUGUAAAGCUCUUUUGUCAGGGAAGAAACACCGGCUCUAACACAGUCCGGGAAUGACGGUACCUGAAGAAUAAGCACCGGCUAACUACGUGCCAGCCGCCGCCGUAA
rnacentral:rRNA from 1 species